UACAUGUGGGGCGAGCGUUGUUCGGAAUCACUGGGCAUAAAGGGUGCGUAGGCGGCGAUGUACGUCCGGGGUGAAAACCCAUGGCCCAACCAUGGAUCGGCCUUGGAUACGGCAUUGCUGGAGUGCGUGAGGGGUGACCGGAACGCGUGGUGUAGCGGUGAAAUGCGUAGAUAUCACGCGGAAGGCCAACGGCGAAGGCAGGUCACUGGCACGCAACUGACGCUGAGUGCACGAAAGCGUGGGGA
rnacentral:rRNA from 1 species